rnacentral:lncRNA from 1 species
UUUAUUAUUACAAUUGUAUAGCAUUGUGACGAAGUAGAAGAAAAGCAUUUAUUUAAAUUACUUUUGUCCUAUGUGUCAUUUUUUUUUUUCUUUUUUUUAAAAAAAAAUCAUUUUUGUUAAAAAUUGUAAUAUAUUUUAACACAUUUCUAAUUAUCUAAACAGUUGUAGAUUCAUUAAUUUGUAUGAAAUUCAAAAGAAAAUAUUUUGUAUUUUUAAAAUAUUAUAUAUAUGUAUUAAUAUAUAUAUUUAUAUACACACACACUAAAUAAAUAAAUAAAUAAAUAAAAGGAACUAAUUUCAUAUUUUAACUCCUUACCAAACAAUAUUAUAAACAAUGGAAAACAGAGGAUGUAAUAUGAUUUUUAGUGACUGUUGCCAAGAAGAAAAAAAUGAAUCAGUAUAUCAGUAUGAGGAUAUGGGAGAACAUGUACCUAACGAAACUUAUUACGAUGGGGAAAAUAACUAUGCAUAUGAACAUAUAGAAAGACCAGUAUUACAUGUUCAAGGAGAUCAACCAGUGUUUAAUAUACCUGUAUACCAAGAUAAAUAUAUUCGAGAUAAAAUAAUUGAAACGCAGACGUAUGAAGUUCAAGAUAUAGUACAACCCAAAUGUUACUUGCAAGAAACGAAGCAUGAUAUACCAACUGUUGAAUUAUUUUAUAAAGAGAAAAAUGUAGCGAUUCCCCAAGAACAAGUAGUAGAAAAAAUAGUUGAAGUUGAUACGCCUAUUGGAUAUUCACCAGUAUAUUCUCCAGUUUGGGAUGUAAGAGAAAUUCCAAGAGUAGUACCAAAAUAUGAAGGUGAACAGAAAAUUAUUCAAGUAGAAGUACCACAAAUAAAAUAUAUCGAUAAAUAUGUUGAAAAAGAAAUAGUAGUUGAUGUAAAAGAAAAGAUUGUUCCUAAAAUUACUGAAAUAGAAAAAGAAGUUGAUAUAGUAAAAUAUGAAUGGAAAGAAAAAUAUCAAGAUGUACCUGUAUGUAAAUAUGUACCAAAAAUUGACGUUGAAUUAGAUUGUCCACCUCCACUUAUAGUUCCAUAUCCAGAAGUUCAUUUUCAAAAUAUUUCUGAAGUUAUGAAUCCAAAUCAAAGACUUGUAGAUAUUUCUAAUGAGACAUUAUUAAAAAAUACAGUUAUAAAUAAUCCCACUUUAAAUAAACAUGUUGAUAAAUCUGUAAAACAAAAUUUAAUCAACAUAGCAAAAUUGACAAACAAAAAAAAAAAUGAACAAAAUCUAAGAAAAAAAAAAAAAAAAAAAAAGGAAUAA